AUACGGAGGAUGCAAGCGUUAUCCGGAUUUAUUGGGUUUAAAGGGUGCGUAGGCGGUUUGCUAAGCGGGAGGUGAAAUGCCGGCGCUCAACGUCGGAAGUGCCUCCCGAACUGGUGGACUUGAAUGACUCUGCCGUGGGAGGAAUGUGUAGUGUAGCGGUGAAAUGCUUAGAGAUUAUACAGAACACCGAUUGCGAAGGCAUCUCACGAAGGGUUGAUUGACGCUGAGGCACGAAAGCGUGGGGAUCAAACAGGAUUAGAUACCCUGGUAGUCCACGCAGUAAACGAUGAUGGCUAACCGCUGGGCUUAUCAGUUCAGUGGCCAAGCGAAAGCGAUAAGCCAUCCACCUGGGGAGUACGACCGCAAGGUUGAAACUCAAAUGAAUUGGCGGGG
rnacentral:rRNA from 1 species